rnacentral:rRNA from 1 species
AGACGAAGGUGGCUAGCGUUGUUCGGUAUCACUGGGCUUAAAGGGUAUGUAGGCUGAAUGGAAAGCGUCGUGUGAAAGCCCUCGGCUUAACCGAGGAAUUGCUCGGCGAACUUCCAUUCUUGAGGCAAACAGGGGUGCGCGGAACUCUUGGUGGAGCGGUGGAAUGCGUAGAUAUCAAGAGGAACGCCGGUGGCGAAAGCGGCGCACUAGGUUUGCACUGACGCUGAAGUACGAAAGCGUGGGGAGCGAACGGGAUUAGAUACCCCGGUAGUCCACGCCGUAAACGAUGUGUACUAGGCUGUGGUAGUUCUGACACUUUCACGGCCGAAGCAAAAGCGUUAAGUACACCGCCUGGGGACUACGGUCGCAAGGCUAAA